rnacentral:rRNA from 1 species
AUUGAACGCUGGCGGCAGGCCUAACACAUGCAAGUCGAGCGGACGAAGGGAGAGUGCUCCUGGAUGAAGCGGCGGACGGGUGGGUAAUGCCUAGGAAGCUGCCUGGUGGUGGGGGAUAACGUCCGGAAACGGGCGCUAAUACAGCAUACGUCCUGAGGGAGAAAGUGGGGGAUCUUCGGACCUAACGCUAUCAGAUGAGCCUAGGUCGGAUUAGCUAGUUGGUGGGGUAAAGGCGUACCAAGGCGACGAUCCGUAACAGGGCUGAGAGGAUGAUCAGUCACACUGGAACUGAGACACGGUCCAGACUCCUACGGGAGGCAGCAGUAGGGAAUAUUGGACAAUGGGCGAAAGCCUGAUCCAGCCAUGCCGCGUGUGUGAAGAAGGUCUUCGGAUUGUAAAGCACUUUAAGUUGGGAGGAAGAUAAGUAUGUGAAUCCCUUCCUGUUUUGACGGUACCAACACAAUAAGCCACGGCUAACUUCGUG